ensembl:lncRNA
GAAUGCCUACACCUGCGUUACACAACACCAUCUCAUGGAUGAACAAGGGUGGGUAAAGCAGGUCUACAUCCAGCGCACCCUUAUCUUCUGUAACAAAGCUGCUGAAGAGGAUUAUGCUGCUGUUGCCUCAGAAACUUAGUCACCAGUGGAAAGAGAGCACAGAGAGGGGUGGGGAGUCCACGCAGAGAGUAGAAACAGACAGGCAGGCGAUACUACUGCUACAACCCUUCACACACACACAGCACCAGCUUUUUCUUUCUUUCUUUCUUUUUUUUAGGCUGACACAGAUUUUUUCUAAAACCUGCCACCAUGUGGCACCCUUUGAUUAUCGGCAUCAUGACAGUGAACACCUCUCUAACCGUCUUCUACUGGGCCUUCAUCCUGGGCGAUGCUUACUACAAGUGGCUGAUGGAGCCAGAAGACAAGCCCAAGAAGCCUUGGAUUCCUGUUUUGAACUGAAAAAAUAACCUAAAGCAAUCUGCAAGUUGAUGAGAAGAAUCAUUCUUACAGAGCUGCUUCUGUACAGUUCACCCCAGAAUUCAAAAACAAAAAACCAGAGGAAUCGUCUCAACUCUUUGCUGCAGACUGGAUAUUUGGCCCCAAACCAGUGGAGGAUGAUUCAGAGGGAGGGGAUGCAGAAAUAGAGGAAGAGAGGCGACUCAGCGUUUCCAGCAAGCUGUUGGAGAAAGAUGAGAUCAGAAUGGAGGAAGAAAAAGAAGGCCAGCUGCCUGGUUUCCACCAGGGAGACGCAGGCCGCUGUCGUCCAUCCACCCCUCCGCUGAGAAGCGCCAUUGCUUCGUCAUACCCUGGAGAAAAAAGGAUUUCCACACAUAGCGUGACCUUCGCCUGCCCCGUGGCCCCUUACGUCACUUCCCUUUGAGUUUUUUCAUCACAGCAGUUUUUAUUACGUCUUAAUCACAGUGCAGUGAUCAGUGAUGUCCUCGCUGUAGUGAUGCAGAGGCUGAGGCACUCUUGUUUUAUGCUGGUGUUAUAGUUAGCGUGCAAAAAAUGUACAAGAAAAUGUUGUUAGUAAGCACGAUCCAUACUGUCAGUCUGUUUCUACUGCACCAUGCUGAAAUUCGCUGUCCAGCUGCUCGUGGUAAAAACUGUAAACAAAUUAAGUUUCAAGUAAAAAUAUCAGUUAUGUUAAUAACUUAACUUUACAUCUAAAAAUGUUCAUUGGAAACACACUGUGUCCAGUUCGUCCACAAGGCUAGACAGAAAGUGUUGUGAAAUUGCAAAAUCAAAAAGACUUGUCAUGUUACAUGUGCUUGUAAUGUGUUUCUAAAGAAAACGUACAUCACUUCUCCUGGUGUUGGACUAAGCUUCUCCCCAAUAAACAACUCGAUAAUACACGCUCGUUCCUCCUGUCUUGUCUGCUUUCAUUAAUCCAUCUUACCUUCUCCUAAUACCUGCUUGUGCCCAGGGUGAUGACCUUGUUUAUAAAUGCAGAGGAUUAUUGCACUUGAGCAUAUUAAAUACAGCUGAGUGAUGUAAGAUAGAUAGAUAGAUAGAUAGAUAGAUAGAUAGAUAGAUAGAUAGAUAGAUAGAUAGAUAGAUAGAUAGAUUUCUACAGAGAGAAAAACAGGAAUCUUGUUCACAUGAGAUACAGCUUUGCAUUUAUUUUAAAUCUUACUUUAGCAGUCAUUAGUCAUAAGGCUGAUCAGCUGUGAAUUAGAGGAUCUUCACAGCUUCCUUGAUUCAUGCAAAGAGUUUCAUUCACGAUUUCCUGAAUUUUGAGUAAUUUUGCUGUUGUUACAAUGCUGACAUUGGAGAAUGUGAUAUUUCCUCCUGAUCUCUUUGUAUUUUGCACAGAACGUUCUGUGCGAUUAAAUCUUUGUGCCGGCUUCUUAAUACAGCGAUGACCCACAGAUAUUAACUGGACUCGCAGGCUGACAGCAGAGGCAGCCAGACUGCAAUGGACAGCUUAAACGUUCGUCACAAAGAGGAAGAUGGCACAGUGUUAUUUGAGUCAUAUAUCCCUCCUUCUCGGGAUGCUAUCCACCUGCCCACCUACGUCCUCUACUUGCUCAUAGCCGUCUUCGUCGUGUUUUCGGUUCUCUACGCCAUCACGGGCCACCUCAUCAAAGACCUCAUCCAUGACUGUGCAGACUGGCUGUUUGGGGAGCAGCCUGCAGAAGUGGUGGUGAACUACUGUGAGGCCAAGGAUAAGUUCAUGGCAGACUGGUCCCCACAAACCAGCCCUGAAGUAGAGGCAAUGGCCCGGGAAGAGGAGAACAAGGUGAUUGACAGAGACUUUAUGAAAUCCCCUGCCAUCUGGAUCAUCUCUACAGAACCACAAGGGGCAAAAACAGGACCCCGGGUGGUCUUUGGGAAUAGGACUUGAACCCAUCAGAGACUUGCUGUCGUUACAGACCUUCUGUAUGUGAUGUGAAUGUAUAAAUAUCUAGAUGGAUGAUGAAGGUAAAGAACCAUUUCUGUGUGAGGCUCAAAAUAGAUUAUUAGAUUUAAUUUCAAUAUUUUGCAAAAUAAGAUUAAAAAGUAAGAUUAAAGAUUUUAGUAUAAGCCUUCGUGUGGAUUUUUUUUAAAUAUAAAUGUUUUGUGGAACAUGUGCAUGUAGCACUGAUCUAUCAUGUGGAGUAGUAAACAAGUAUCUUGUGAAAAUAGUUCUGAAAAGUUAAGCCAUGAAAGUAAUGGUACAAUUACACUCUUCUCAAUAAUAAUGAUGAUUUGUCUGUUAACAAUAAUUAUCAUUAUUAUUAUUUUUAGGUAGCCUCAGUUGGUCUGCUGCUGAAUUUAUUUAUUAAUUAUUUAUGUUUGUGUUUAUAUUCAGCUUUUUCACGUUUGGAUAAGGUGUAACUUCGUAACUACUGUAUAGAAAUGUACACCGCACAAAAAGGACAAGGCAGCUAAUUUGGCAGCAGACAUUUCUAAACAGAAUAUAAUGCUGCACAGUAAACAGGACCACCCCACUUGCAUUUGAGAUGCAAUGGUAAGCGAGAAAAGCACCUCCUGUGGUGAGAUGCAUGGCACUGCACGCUGAGACAGUGACGUGGUCUAAUGUUAUUCCAAACUCGCAGUUUCUCAUUAAGUUUCUUCAUUUAAAUGUGAAUGUAACUGCCUCUCUUUUUGUGUAUAAUGGCUGAAGGCUUCAGCGGUCCUAUAAGGACAUCUAGUGUCUGCUGUAGUCAUUACAGCUGAAUAUUAUUUCAAACUGGAAAACCUCUGGAAAUAAGGUAACUCAUUUAAAAAAAAGAGAGAGAGAGAAAAUAUGACAAUGAUCUUCAGAAUCUUUGAUUUCAACAAUUAAUAUUUUAUAUCUUAAAAAUGUGGUAGGUAGUUGCACUUUAUUCUACAUUUCUCCUUUACUUUCAUGUAUUUAUUUAUUUGAGAAAGCUCUAAACUCACUCCACACGCUUUAGAGUUUUCAGACCUUUUCACAAACGUAUUCUACAUUUCAUAGACUAUUUAGUUUCUCAUAAGUCUAAAGAUCAGUCGUAGAUUUCGAUGCAAAAUCAAUCAGUAAAUAAAUAAAUAAAAGCUUUUCCAGUUGUCUGUAAA